CUUUAUUAGACAGGAGUCAGGACAGGACCCAACAGGUCCUUUAUUAGACAGGAGUCAGGACCCAACAGGUCCUUUAUUAGACAGGAGUCAGGACCCAACAGGUCCUUUAUUAGACAGGAGUCAGGACAGGACCCAACAGGUCCUUUAUUAGACAGGAGUCAGGACCCAACAGGUCCUUUAUUAGACAGGAGUCAGGACAGGACCCAACAGGUCCUUUAUUAGACAGGAGUCAGGACAGGACCCAACAGGUCCUUUAUUAGACAGGAGUCAGGACCCAACAGGUCCUUUAUUAGACAGGAGUCAGGACAGGACCCAACAGGUCCUUUAUUAGACAGGAGUCAGGACCCAACAGGUCCUUUAUUAGACAGGAGUCAGGACAGGACCCAACAGGUCCUUUAUUAGACAGGAGUCAGGACAGGACCCAACAGGUCCUUUAUUAGACAGGAGUCAGGACAGGACCCAACAGGUCCUUUAAUAGACAGGAGUCAGGACAGGACCCAACAGGUCCUUUAUUAGACAGGAGUCAGGACAGGACCCAACAGGUCCUUUAUUAGACAGGAGUCAGGACAGGACCCAACAGGUCCUUUAUUAGACAGGAGUCAGGACAGGACCCAACAGGUCCUUUAUUAGACAGGAGUCAGGACAGGACCCAACAGGUCCUUUAUUAGACAGGAGUCAGGACCCAACAGGUCCUUUAUUAGACAGGAGUCAGGACAGGACCCAACAGGUCCUUUAAUAGACAGGAGUCAGGACCCAACAGGUCCUUUAUUAGACAGGAGUCAGGA